rnacentral:misc_RNA from 1 species
CAGAGUUCAUGCCCUUACGGGUAGAUCUCCCACCCUUGAAAUACAUACCUUUGUUGCUUUGGCAGGCCGCGGUCUACCGCUACCGGCUUCGGCUGGUACGUGCCUGCCAGAGGACCCCAACUCUUGUUUUUAGUGAUGUCUGAGUACUAUAUAAUAGUUA